rnacentral:rRNA from 1 species
UGGGGAAUAUUGCACAAUGGGCGCAAGCCUGAUGCAGCCAUGCCGCGUGUAUGAAGAAAGCCUUCGUGUUGUAAAGUACUUUCAGCGUGGAGGAAGGGAGUAAAGUUAAUACCCUUGCCCAUUGACGUUACCCGCAGAAGAAGCACCGGCUAACUCCGUGCCAGCAGCCGCGGUAAUACGGAGGGUGCAAGCGUUAAUCGGAAUUACUGGGCGUAAAGCGCACGCAGGCGGUUUGUUAAGUCAGAUGUGAAAUCCCCGGGCUCAACCUGGGAACUGCAUCUGAUACUGGCAAGCUUGAGUCUCGUAGAGGGGGGUAGAAUUCCUGGUGUAGCGGUGAAAUGCGUAGAGAUCUGGAGGAAUACCGGUGGCGAAGGCGGCGCCCUGGACGAAAACAGACGCUCAGGUGCGAAAGCGUGGGGAGCGAACAGG